rnacentral:rRNA from 1 species
AGGGUUCGAUUCUGGCUCAGGACGAACGCUGGCGGCGUGCUUAACACAUGCAAGUCGAGCGGAGAGUAUAGCAAUAUAUUCUUAGCGGCGGACGGGUGAGUAACGCGUGGGUAACCUGCCUUUUACAGGGGGAUAACACUGGGAAACUAGUGCUAAUACCGCAUAAAAUAGUGAAGUGGCAUCACUUUACUAUCAAAGGAGCAAUCCGGUAAAAGAUGGACCCGCGUCCGAUUAGCUAGUUGGAGGGUAACGGCCCACCAAGGCGACGAUCGGUAGCCGAACUGAGAGGUUGAUCGGCCACAUUGGGACUGAGACACGGCCCAGACUCCUACGGGAGGCAGCAGUGGGGAAUAUUGCGCAAUUGGGGGAAACCCUGACGCAGCAACGCCGCGUGAAGGAUGAAGGUUUUCGGAUUGUAGACUUCUUUGAUUGGGGACGAUAAUGACGGUACCCAAAAAACAAGCCACGGCUAACUACGUGCCAGCAGCCGC